CAACUUUAUCUCGUUAUAGGUUUUAUCCAUACAUUGUCCAUCGAGUGAUGGUAAUAAAACAGGAUUCGAGAUGGACUAUCUGUUGACGUGCUGGUUUUAUCCAUAGAUUGUCCAUCGGGUGAUGGUAAUAAAACAGGAUUCGAGUUGGACUAUCUGUUGACGUGCUGGUUUUAUCCAUAGAUUAUCCAUCGAGUGAUGGUAAUAAAACAGGAUUCGAGUUGGACUAUCUGUUGACGUGCUGG